GACGAACGCUGGCGGCGUGCUUAACACAUGCAAGUCGAACGGAAAGGCCCUGCUUUUGUGGGGUGCUCGAGUGGCGAACGGGUGAGUAACACGUGAGUAACCUGCCCUUGACUUUGGGAUAACUUCAGGAAACUGGGGCUAAUACCGGAUAGGAGCUCCUGCUGCAUGGUGGGGGUUGGAAAGUUUCGGCGGUUGGGGAUGGACUCGCGGCUUAUCAGCUUGUUGGUGGGGUAGUGGCUUACCAAGGCUUUGACGGGUAGCCGGCCUGAGAGGGUGACCGGCCACAUUGGGACUGAGAUACGGCCCGGACUCCUACGGGAGGCAGCAGUGGGGAAUAUUGCACAAUGGGCGGAAGCCUGAUGCAGCAACGCCGCGUGCGUGAUGACGGCCGUCGGGUUGUAAACCGCUUUCGCCUGUGACGAAGCGUGAGUGACGGUAAUGGGUAAAGAAGCACCGGCUAACUACGUG
rnacentral:rRNA from 1 species